rnacentral:lncRNA from 1 species
AACAAAUGUAAAUUACAUAGUUCAAACAUGUUCAUAGUACUUUUCUCAUCAUAUAUAAAAUGUUUUUUCUUUAUGUGAAUACUUCUACUAACGAACUUUUUCUUGGUUCUAAAUUAUUUACUUUUUUUUUUUUUUUUUUUUAUAAAAUGUUUUUUUUUUUUUUUUUUUUUAAGCAUUGCUUUGGUAAGUACAUUUUUGCAUUGUAACAUGUUAUGUCAUUAACUUAAAAUUUAAUUUUAUUAAGAAAAUUAAUUUAAUUGUAUUACUAUAAAAUCUAUAGUAUUAAAAGCGUAUAAGUUCAAAUAUAACUAAAAAAAAAAAUGCAUCAAUGUGGCAUAGUAUAAAAUUGUUUAAAAUAUCCACUUGUAACGCGUAAAACUAUUCAAAAACCUUUUUUAACAUCGUUAUUAUAUAGUAAUGUGUAAACAAAUGUUUACCAUAAUUUAUAAAAUAAUUAUUGUUUUCUUUUUUGUAUGGACAUGGACCAACAACAGUAAGGCUAUCAAAGAAAAUAUACUAACAGCAAAAUAUAGUAGAGCACUAGCUCAACAUAAUAUAUCUUCAAACGAACGGAAUCACCAUUCUUAUGGAGCACAUAAUGACAAUAACCACUUUUAUAAACAGUGUGAACAAUGUAUGAUUAGUAAUAAUAAUCCAAAUAAGAAUAUUCCAAAUGGUGAACAUUGUCAAAAUAUAUCAAUUUAUUUAACCGAUAUUAAAAAAGAAUUAAUUCAAGUGUUAGCUAACCGAAAUGACCCUCAAAUAAAUAAUAUACUAAUAAAAAAUAAGAACUUACAAGAAAAGGACCUUAUAAAAAUAUAUGAUCGUAUUAAACAUGUCAUGUCAAGUGAAGAAUAUUUACAAAUUAUAAAACAAAGUUGUGAGUUAUUGAAAAAUAGGAGUCCUAAUAAUAAUGGUCAUGCUGAAACAUACUACAAAUCGAUGUUGUACUUACUCAAUACAUAUUUCUUUCUUACUAACAGUAAAAAAGAUUUUAAACAACGCUUUAUACAAUUACAACAAGAUAACUGCGAAAAACCAAUAUUUAAAAAAAAAAAAUUUAAAGCGAAAUAUUUAAAUAUAUUUAAACUUAGUAAAAAAAUAGAUAAACAAUUUAGGAAUAUGUUACUCGAACUAAGGAUAAAAGAGGAAAUAGAUCCAAAUGUAAACUUGUCACUUAUAAAAGAGAGUAAGCUACUUAAUUAUGCAUUAUUUUAUGUUUUGAUGAGUUCUGUAUACUUUUUUGUACUUGCAUGUUUUGGAUGUGGUCCCCUCAUAUUUCCAUUAAUAGGUCUGUAUUUAUGCGCAUGUAUACACUCUAUGUAUAAAAUUACUAAAGACAUAGAUUCUAUAGACCAAAUUAUACAAGGGUCAAAACUAUCAAAGAGAGAAAAUUUUAUUUAAUAAUAAAUACCAUAAAAAAAAAAUCA